GGGCUACACAGUGCUACAAUGGCGUAUACAAAGAGAAGCGACCUCGCGAGAGCAAGCGGACCUCAUAAAGUACGUCGUAGUCGGAUUGGAGUCUGCAACUCGACUCCUGAACGGAAUCGCUAGUAAUCGUAGAUCAGAAUGCUACGGUGAAUACGUUCCCGGGCCUUGUACACACCGCCCCGUCACACCAUGGGGAAGUGGGUUGCAAAAGAAGUAGGUAGCUUAACCUUCGGGAGGGCGCUUACCACUUUGUGAUUCAUGACUGGGGUGAAGUCGUAACAAGGUAACCGUAGGGGAACCUGCGGUUGGAUCACCUCCUUA
rnacentral:rRNA from 1 species